GAUGAACGCUAGCUACAGGCUUAACACAUGCAAGUCGAGGGGAAACGACAUCGAAAGCUUGCUUUUGAUGGGCGUCGACCGGCGCACGGGUGAGUAACGCGUAUCCAACCUGCCCAUCACUUGGGAAUAACCUUGCGAAAGUAAGACUAAUACCCAAUGAUAUCCCACGAAGGCAUCGGAAUGGGAUUAAAGAUUUAUCGGUGAUGGAUGGGGAUGCGUCUGAUUAGCUUGUUGGCGGGGUAACGGCCCACCAAGGCAACGAUCAGUAGGGGUUCUGAGAGGAAGGUCCCCCACAUUGGAACUGAGACACGGUCCAAACUCCUACGGGAGGCAGCAGUGAGGAAUAUUGGUCAAUGGGCGAGAGCCUGACCCAGCCAAGUAGCGUGCAGGAAGACGGCCCUAUGGGUUGUAAACUGCUUUUAUAAGGGAAUAAAGUGGGUCACGUGUGACUUUUUGCAUGUACCUUAUGAAUAAGGACCGGCUAAUUCCGUG
rnacentral:rRNA from 1 species